CCAGUUCAACAGUGGGAUGGUGGCGUAAUUUAAAAAUCUGCCCUUCACAGAGAGCACUGCAUGUUUUAAGGGCUCUUGCCCUAAACUCACUUAUCAAUACUGAAAUAUCCCUAACUCAGUUUCUCUGUCUAGACGUCUCUGUUGCCCACUCCUCCUGAUGAUAAAGGAGGGAGAAAGCCCAAUUGGUUAACAUCUAUAAUUUGUAGUGAUUCUGUGAUGAAAUAUGGUAUGUAAAUGUAAAGAAUUAUUAUUAUAAUAAGCCCAGUCAACCACAACAAUGGUGGUUGGUGGUGCCAGAAAUGUCUAAGGGGUAACUUGGAACUCUUACCACUCUCUCAGAAAUUAAGUUGCUACAGUUAGCUACAGGCUUUGAGAAGUAGAGGGAACCACAAAGAGCCUAAGCGUAGGGAGCUGAGGUAAAAAGAGCUUGGUCUAAAGGAUCCCGAGAUGGAGUGUUGCUCUGUCACCCAGGCUGGAUUGCAGUGGCACAAUCUCAGCUCACUGCAACCUCCACCUCCCAGGUUCAAGCAAUUCUCCUGCCUCAGCCUCCUGAGUAUCUGGGAUUACAGGCCCCUGCCACCACACUUGGCUAAUUUUUGUAUUAUUAGUAGAGAUGGAGUUUCACCAUGUUGGCCAGGCUGGUCUUGAACUCCUGACCUCAUGAUACGCCCACCUCGGCCUCCCAAAGUGCUGUAGAAUAAUUUUAAUGCUUCCUAAAAUGUCCUCUUAAGGCCGGGUGUGGUGGCUCACACCUGUAAUGCCAGCACUUUGGGAGGCUGAGGCGGGUGGAUCACGAGGUCAGGAGUUCGAGACCAGCUUGGCCAACAUGGUGAAACCCCAUCUCUACUAAAAAUACAAAAAUUAGCUGGGCGUGGAGGUGAGUGCCUGUAAUCCCAGCUACUCGGGAGGCUGAGGCAGGAGAAUCGCUUGAACCUGGGAGGCAGAGGUUGCAGUGAGCAGAGAUCAUGCCAUUGCACUCUAGCCUGGGCGACAGGGUGAGACUCCGUCUCAAAAAAAAAAAAAAAAAAAAAAAGCCCUCUUAAAAGGUGCAUGGUUUGAAGUCAAGCUUUCCAGUGUUAAAAUGCUACCAGAUUUUAAGCUCAAUUCCUGUGUGGUUUUGGAGAUGCUGGCAUUCUAAAAACUGCUGAUUCUCACUUGGUAAAUGGAAACUGAGUUAUAGCAACUAAGGUCUGAAGAAUCAGAAGUAGAUUUAUGCUUAACAAAGAUCUAUGUAAGAUAAAAAUUAUUAUGUGGAAAUUUAGGGCCCUUCCAAUUUUAGGUUUCUGACU
rnacentral:lncRNA from 10 species